UGGAUGGAGAAGUUACAAUCUUUACUUACUCAAGUAUACACUCCUUUUAAGUUGUUUGAGUUAGGUUUUGGAUGGGCAUGGAAGUCCUGAUGCAGCUGUGUUUGUUAAGAAAAAUGCUAUGAAAAUAUUUUUUUGAAGACGUUACAAUGCUGCAGUCAUAUGACACUGAUGCACUUCUAAUUAAGAGGUUGGAAGAUUCUCAUCAGAAAGUUUUUCUAGGUGUCGACCUUGCGAUGGUUGAUGAACAGAGUAUUAGUAGUUCUUCUGGGACAACAACACUGACUGCCCUGAUACUUGGAAAGCAUUUGCUUGUUGUUAAUGUCGGUGAUUGUCGAGCAGUUUUUUAAGAGGACCACAGACGGAGUUAUUCUUUGUUUUGUUUUCACUAUGGGUUUUUUUUAGAAAAACUACUUCAUACUGUUAUGUAAUAUAUUUGAUAUACCUACUGCAUAUUUAAGCAAUUUGGAAUAAUUGUUGUGAAAUCAACUUGUAGGUUCACUUUGUCUUAAAAGAACUUGUGAGAAAAUCAAUAGGUGAAACUGAGGAGCUGAGACGUUUCCCUACUCUUCAAACCGAAUUAUCUGCAGCUACAAAUGAGGCUCUAGAGAGAUUCCGUGAAGCGAGUAAGAAGACAACUAUUCGGCUUGUGGAUAUGGAGUCUUCAUAUCUUACUGUGGAUUUCUUUCGGAAACUUCCUCAAGAAAUGGAGAAAGCUGGUAAUCUAGGGAUACCUUCUAAUCCAGCUCAACCUACUAAUCCAUCUAAUCGUCCUGUCCCUAACCCAAUCGAGGAUCGAUAUGGUGAUAGGCAUUUUAGAAGGAUUGGAUCAAAUGUGUCAUCCUAUAUAGGUUUGGUGUCUGACACACUCAAGAUCACUAUUCCAAACGCCGUGGUUUAUUGUCAGGUCAGAGAAGCAAAACUAUCAUUGCUAAGCUAUUUCUUCACACAAAUUGGGAAAAAAGAGAUGUCUUCAGUUUUGGUGUGGUACUUCUUGAGCUUAUCAGUGGUCGACAUCCUAUUCAUAAAACGCGUACCAAAUGGACAGAGAAGAGCAUCUUGUAUGGUGUGUUAUGAUCUUAAACCUUUGUGUGCUCCGCAUUAAUCAUUUUGCCAUUGAUGAACUGGUGUGAUGAGGCUUAGCAUUGUUGCUUUAGAGUUGCAUAUCUUAAUGGUUAUAUACUUUUUGUUUUAGGUGUUUCUUUGUCAG